ensembl:lncRNA
UUUUUUUUUUUUUUUUACUUGACAUGAGCUUGCAUCACCUAUUUGUCUAUUUUGAUGUAUAAAUUGGAUCAAAUGGGAAAAAAUGCAUCUAUUUUCAUUAUGGCUUCAAAGUUCUCCUGGAGGAACAGACUUCAGCUGGAAAGGGGUUUUACAACACCAAUACCAGGGAAACCAGGGGUCUGAAAUGAAGACCUAAGACGUUCUGAAUCUAUGUUUGCAUGUUGCUGUUCUUAUCUUCUAUGUCCUUGCCAGGCAAUAUUGCAAAGACCCCUGCCACUUAAUGUACAAUUUGAGGGGUGAAGGCCCUAAAGGAGGAACAGAAAAAUGUCAGAAGACACCCCCAUGGCAGAGACACUGAUCCUGGCUCCAAAACCCACAUAUGAGUCAAAUCCAUGGCCCUACCUCAGUGCUGAUGCUCUGUUGCCUUGCUUGGUGCUACAGACUCUGGCGCUUACUCCAGACUAUGACCCACCUAUAUCAGCUGCAUCAGAAUCUGCCCAAGGAAUCUGUUCUUUGUGUGAAGGUGUCCAGCACCCAAAAUGGGAUUCCUUGCUUCUGUUGCUCUGGCACACACACUUCACCCAUCCAAUAUUUUAAAUCUCUCCCAGCAGGAGCAAUGCACUGACCUGCAGGAGAAGUCCAUGAUCACUCAUCUAAUGGCACUCAGCAGCCCACAGCUGCAAGAAGGAAAAUGCUGGAAGAGUUUCCUCACCAAAGUCACCCAUCUAGGCUUUCUUCCCUCUGGAAACCUGGAGGUGGUGGCCGCUGCUCAUCAGAUCACACAUAUCUUCCACACCUUCUUCUCAUGGAAACAGCCAGGGUUCUAGGGAACAGCCAUACCCACCAGCAUCUCCACAGAGAGCCAACAAGAAGAGUGUGUGGCUGGAUGCACGCUGCACUCUGUAGCUGUGACUGGUAUGGGCUGAGGGGCAGCUGCUUUGGGGUUUGAGUGCACAGCUCCUUUCAGCCUUUCCCUUGUGCUGGGCCCAUUCACACAGCCCUGUACUCAGCACUGCAGGUGUUAGAGGGGCACUACAGGUGCCAACACUCCUGGCUUCUAUUUCUCUAAUAAGGACCUGUAGCUGGACAUGGUACUUGGGGCAAUGCUUUUUCUGGAGUUGGAAAAAUACAGAGAAAAUUUAAGAUGGUGUAUAACCCCACAAAGCAGUGAUGUGCCUCGCAGAAAGUUCAAGCAUUGUGGUGGCAGCCUCCAUGCAGAAGAAAUACUCCGCAUAUAGUGGUCUCCUUGGGGUCCUGGAAUGUGAUCCAGCACUUGUAGCACAGGACAAGCAGCAGAGAGGGAAAAAUCAAAUACACAUGACUGUUAGAAUUUUAAAGGUGAAAGUAGUUCCUUUCACAGCUCAGCAAAGAGCUCAACUCUCUUGACCAGCAUCAGAAUGCUUGAAUAAAAAAAUGGCUUACAUAUCCAUCAUAGGAUACCUAAUGCUGCUAGUAUUCAGAACUGGCCACCCCAGAGCUCCACAGGUACAUGGCCAAGAAAUUUAGUAUUCCAGUUGUCAGUGCAAUGUUAGAAAAGGCAGAGGCAGCUCAUAAUGUACUGACACUGUCCUGGUUGCAGAAAUCAUACAGUCACUUAGGUUGGAAGGCCCUAAAGAUUGAGUGAAACCAUUUAGCUAAUGCUAUCACAUCUACCACUUUUGAUUUCCUUUUGAUUUCUCAGCAUUCACUACAGUAGUAUUAUUAGUUCAGCUUAGUCACAGAGUCUUCCAGGGACAAACAAACCCAAAUUCCUCAUGUUAAAAAAACAAACAAAAAAAAGAAACACAGAGAGGGGGAAAAAUCAGGAGGAAAAUGUGUCCUUUGUGCACUGCAGCGCAGUCAAAGCAAAACACACCCAUGCUCCCCCCAUACUUUGCAGUUCACUUUUAAUUUGUGCUGUGUCCAACAAUUGAAAGCUGUCUCACUGCUGGACUGGACACAGGGAUGUGCCAGAGAUUCCCUCUUGCUCCCAUGGGUGGGAUGUGAAGAAUUCCUCUCUCCAUAGCUGACAUUCCUGCUGCACUGAGACAAUAACAUACAAUUCUUGUCCAAACAAUCCUAGAUAGACACUGUGAUUUUUUUCUAAUUAUAUAAAUGUGAUAAUAUCCAUUGGAUAUGAAGCUUCCUGGCCAAAACCUGUAUUAAAAACAGAAUAUCCCAUGCUCACCACCUACAGUUAAGCAACAUACUUAGGGUAUUCUUACCCUGCCUUCCCAAGAUUAAUUAUUCAAGACUGGGAAGGGAAUUCAAAUUCACACAUAGCUAUUCAAAUGAAUUUUACUCCUGGGAGAUGCAGGAGUCAGUAAUAUGGUCGACUGCUCAUUUCCCCUAAUAGUAACUGGCACAAGCACUAAAGUCUGUGGUGGUGUGUAUUGUACCUAAGCAUAAACCAGGUGCUUUAUCUAAAGCCAUAGCACUUUACCAGAAGCUUUAGAAUAACGUAUCUUUUUCUCUGACAUUUUUGUGCUGCAGGGAUGAGGUAGAAACAGAAGGGUUUGUGGUUGUUUUGGGGCUUUUUUAGGUUAUUUGUUGGAAAUACAAGCAUGAGUCAAAACCAAAUAUGGGUCACAAACUGCCAAAGUACAGUUUCUGAUCUGAAGACAUUACUAUGGCUAGUUAAAAGCAAAUUUCACUGUUAUCACUGUUAUCACUCUUAGGUGAGGUUCAGGUGGAAUCCAGUGCAGACAAGUAGAGGAAGGAGAUGGCUCUGAUCUUCAGUUCAGGUUCUGUGUGUUAACAGCCCACAAAAUAAGAGAUGUUUAUGUUUGUGGUUCCAGGACAAACCAAAAUGAAAGAGAAGUCUUAACUGCAAAAUUAGGGUUUGGAGGCUGGACAAAUUUCCCACUGCCUUGCCAGGCUGAGGUUGUUGAUAUCAGUGAUUAAUAUCCAUCUGGGUUCUGAGACUGUUUUUCAUCAGGGACAGCAUCAGGGCUCUGCAUGCACCAAAGAAACACUGGGCUGUCAGACCUGUUUAAUUGUGUGAAGUUGUCACCCCUGAUUAGGAUAUGCUUUAUUACACUCCAAAGAUCUCAGAAAGAUUCUAUUUGUGCCUUUGCUCACAUGAAGCAUAUUUCUUUCUGUGCAGAUUGCCCCAACAGAAAACCCUUUAUUCUCUCAAGAUAAACUAAAAGUAUCAGUUUUUCAUUAUGUGAGAUUUACAUAUUUUAUUCAGUUUUUGAAAACUUGAUCAUUUUUCUUUGCCCUGGAAUAUGAUGGAGGAAAUUUAGAAUGGUAGCAUAGCAGAACCAAUGUAGCUUUUACUCUGUACAGAGAAAGGUUAUCUUGCCCUUCAAAAGUAGACCUAUGGAAAACAACAGAAUUAAUUGUUUAAAAAAAGUAAAUUUUUCUUAAGGCAGUUUAGUGAUACUGUAGCCCAUGUGUGAGAAAUUCUGGCUUCUCUACAGAGCUACUCCUUUGUGGAGCAGACAAGCUCUGUUGAUCGUGACACACUCUUGAAAUAUUCCUUAAAUUCAUGGACUCGUAUCUCAGGGCUCCUUUACGUUGAGUCAGUCUUUCUGAUUUUACAUACUCAAAAUCUAACCACUUCAGUCUCUCCAAAAGGUCUUGGUUUUUACAGUGCAAAAUAGGAGUAAUUUGAAACUGCAGAAAAGUUUACUGGUAAUCAGACCACUAAAUUUUUCAUUCAGUUUAUCCAAUUCAUGUAGAAGGGACAAGGGUCUUCAGAAAUUGACUCUGCCUACAACCACAUGACUACAAAGUAAUUUGGAUUCUGUAUGACUGGAAAUACAUAAAUAGAUGUUAUGCAGAGAUAAGAGUUCUAUCUUCUGCAAGAAACUAUAAGCAGAGUAUCCAUGGGAUAAGCUUGGGGAACUAUUUUAUUAUAAAAACAUAGAUUUAUAAGUGCACACUUACAGACACUAGAACAUGUAAAAGGGUAUUGAUGCAUAAUGCAAGCUAAUUUUCACAGAGCAGAGAUCGUUUGUGUUCAGAGUCUUUCUAGGCAAAUCACUGGCUUUCAGCCAAGUAAAUUUUUUUCAACGCAAGAAAAAAUGAAAUCACUUACUGGAACGAACCUACUGAUUCAUUUUUGGUCACUUUCACCACUCAGUCCAAUGUCCAAGCACAAAUUACUCCUUUUCCUGAGCUUGUCAGGAGUAUGAGACACCAGACAAAGCCAGAUUCUUCAGAGCUGUGUGGGAAGGUGAAGCCUGCAGCCUACAAUCCCUAGGAAAGCAAAAUCAACGCAUAAGUGCAAUGUAAGGAGUAGUGGUAUACAAUACUAUAAAGUAGGCACACAUACUUUACAGAAACUUGGAUGUGGCUUAUAAAAGCACAGCAAUUGCAGCUUUACACCCCACAGAAGGCACGGUUGCCAUACCAUGACUGCAGGUGGGUUUGAGCCAUUUGGUUUUUCCAGUCAUAAUUUCAAGAGUCAAUAUAUAAAAACUCUGCCUUGUCUCACUGUGUAAAGAAAAAAACUUCUCUGGUAUUUUUAUUAUUUUCAGCCUCUUUCCUAGUAAAUUUCCUAGUAAUGUUACACCAAUUAUGGAUUUGAUGUGGUAAUCAUACCUCUAUAAAAGAAAAAUUUUGUAUUGUUCAUUUUAUUUGGAUUCAGAAUUUGGCAGCUAAGCUGUUGCAAACAAUUCUAUGCGGCCACUAAAAUUACAUUAUACUGAUAGCAACUGCCCAUCAACAUGCAAAUAUAAAAAAAGUGCCAACUCCAUUUUUUCUUAAACACAGAAGUAAUGUAUAUUAAGUUCCUCUAGAGACCACGUGCAAUAGGGAGAAGGGAUUCAUGGUUACAUACCACUUAAAUUUCUUGCAGUUUAUCCUUUAUGCCUCUGUAUGUUCACAUUUGAUUUUGAGUCCUAGCUAACACUAUUUUGACUAAAAAUCAUGUCGUUUUUUCUAAGUACAAACACCUUUACAUUAAAACAGAGUACAUUUGAUAAAGAAAGAGUAAGAUCUUGCCUC